UGGGCUGGUGACGACAGCUGGCGGCGGGUAGGUCAGAGACGACGAGUACUAUGUGUCUGGGUCUUUGAGGUCCAU